AAGUCGUAACAAGGUUUCCGUAGGUGAACCUGCGGAAGGAUCAUUAACACGUAUCCAAACGUAAAAAACCCUGUAACCCGCGUAGUUCGCAAUCUCUGGUAAAUCAUAGCCCGGAAAGUAGUUUUGAUUCAGAGACCUCUGGCUACGUGAGAACAUUGGAACAGUUACAAUCGAGCGGUAGUUUCAUAGGCAUUGUUUCCCCAAGCAGUUAGUGUCUGAAAGUGUCACUGAUUGUGCAAGGAUAGCGCUUCAACGAUUCCUGUAGACCGUACACUCGGGCAGGAGCUAUGCCAAAGGGUCCCCAUGCCCCCUUAUAACCCCACAGUUUAAUGUGAAGCUCAAUGUAAUACAUUGGGUAAAAAAACCGAACAACUGUUAACAAUGGAUAUCUUGGUUCUC
rnacentral:misc_RNA from 1 species